GUCGCGAAGGAAGGAGGACGCCGGCAGUUCUAGUUCUAUUUCACAUCAGAAGCGCUCGCUCAGUCCGCGCAAAAUUAUUACCUCCGAAUUGCCCUCCAAGGACGGUGUUUUUGACGGUGGCAACCUGCUGCUGCAGAGGACCGAAAAGACUGGAAAGAAAACACUAUUUUGUUGUUAAUGUUAAAUAGGAAUAAAUAAUUUAAGCAGUUUUUAGAUUGAUUUUAUAUUGACAUUGCUGGCUAACAUUACUUAUUUACCUCAGCCAGACAGCUAGCUAACGUUAACUGUUACUGUAGCUGCUUUUUGUUUGCAUGUAGCUUGUACUUCAAUGGCAUCCCUCGAGGAGAUUUUAUUGUAUUUUUCCAACGAGGCGAAGUACUAUGAAGACACACUGAUCUCGACAAGAGGCGCAACAUUCGUAGGGGGCAGAGAAAUUCACAAUUCCGCGUCAGUACUUGUCUAGCCUGCCAGAAGUUUAAGAGGGUGAAGACUGUGGCGCGGGAGUUGAAGCCCAUCAAAAUUGUUUCACCAUGGCACAUGAUCAGCUGGGCACCUGGCACCAUUUUCCAGUCCCGAUUCCAGUCCCCGUCCUGGGUCCAUUCUCCCAAGAUGUCCACACCCUACACAACAGAGGUCAGCGUCCACUGCUUCCGUCGGGAGAUACGUGAGGGAAGAUGAAAUUCUGCAUCGAGUGACUUCUGAUUGCCCAACAAUCUGCCCACUCAUCCCAUCCCUUCCUCCAUCUGAUCACAUCAUAUAAAGCAACUGUUAAUGUCAUGUUGUCAUUAUCUGCUAAUAAAGUUUGCUUGCCGUAUCAUA